rnacentral:lncRNA from 1 species
GGGACCAACAUAGACAUUUCCAUGCCAAGUGUGUAAUUUACUUUGUGAGUUUUGGCAGAAGCUCUAACUUUUGCUGUUUCUUUUUGACCACAGGCAGCUGCACAGCUGUGUGUUUUGGAGUGGGACUACACAGUGGGGACAUCGAGUAUGUCUAUUAUUGUAAAGAAAGAACAAGCUCCCGGGAGAGGAGGAAUUAAAGAACAAGUCACUGCCCAUUUUAUACUCCCAUGAAAGCUGUUUCACAUGUCCCUUCUCAUUUGCCACCUUCCUGAAGUUUGUGACCAGCAACAAAGAAUUGAACCAAAGAUGCUGAAGCUAAUGGAGAUGAAAUUUCAGUUUUUUGUCAUCUUUUGUGAAGUUCAUGGAAUCACAGAAUGGGUAAGGUUGGAAGGGUCCAUAGUAGGUCAUCUUGUUCAACCUCCCUGCACAAGCAAGCUCAUCCCAGAGCACGUUGCCCAGGAUUGUGUCCAGAUGGUUUUUGACUAUCUCUACUGAAGGAGUCUCCACACCCUCUCUGGAGAACUUGUUCCAGUGCAUGGUCACUGCAUAGUAAAGAAGAUCUCACUCAUGUUCAGGUGGAG